AACCUUAUUAGUUUAUUUAAAAAAUAUGACUCUGAAGAGGUUAAGAAGUUAUGGGGUG
rnacentral:tRNA from 1 species